rnacentral:rRNA from 1 species
GAUGAACGCUGGCGGCGUGCCUAAUACAUGCAAGUCGAGCGAACAGACGAGGAGCUUGCUCCUCUGACGUUAGCGGCGGACGGGUGAGUAACACGUGGAUAACCUACCUAUAAGACUGGGAUAACUUCGGGAAACCGGAGCUAAUACCGGAUAAUAUAUUGAACCGCAUGGUUCAAUAGUGAAAGACGGUUUUGCUGUCACUUAUAGAUGGAUCCGCGCCGCAUUAGCUAGUUGGUAAGGUAACGGCUUACCAAGGCGACGAUGCGUAGCCGACCUGAAAGGGUGAUCUGCCACCCUUGAACUGAGACGCGGACCAGACUACUACGGGAAGCACCAGUAGGGAAUCUUCCGCAAGGGGCGAAAGCCUGACGGAGCAACACCGCGUGAGUGAUGAAGGUCUUCGGAGCGUAAAACUCUGUUAUGAGGGAAGAACAAAUGUGUAAGUAACUAUGCACGACUUGACGGUACCUAAUCAGAAAGCCACGGCUAACUACGUG